CUUGUUAGGUGACUGCGUACCUUUUGUAUAAUGGGUCAGCGACUUAUAUUCUGUAGCAAGGUUAACCGUAUAGGGGAGCCGCAGGGAAACCGAGUCUUAACUGGGCGUUAAGUUGCAGGGUAUAGACCCGAAACCCGGUGAUCUAGCCAUGGGCAGGUUGAAGGUUGGGUAACACUAACUGGAGGACCGAACCGACUAAUGUUGAAAAAUUAGCGGAUGACUUGUGGCUGGGGGUGAAAGGCCAAUCAAACCGGGAGAUAGCUGGUUCUCCCCGAAAGCU
rnacentral:rRNA from 1 species